UUAAGUGAAUAAGGGCGCACGGUGGAUGCCUUGGCACUAGGAGCCGAUGAAGGACGGGACUAACACCGAUAUGCUUUGGGGAGCUGUACGUAAGCUAUGAUCCAGAGAUUUCCGAAUGGGGGAACCCAGCAUCUUUAAUAGGAUGUUACGAUUGUGUGAAUACAUAGCACAUUCGAGGUAGACGCAGAGAACUGAAACAUCUAAGUACCUGCAGGAAGAGAAAGAAAAUUCGAUUCCCUGAGUAGCGGCGAGCGAAACGGGAAAAGCCCAAACCAGCAAGCUUGCUUGUUGGGGUUGUAGGACUCCAAUAUGGUAGUUCUUUCAGAUAGUCGAAUGACUUGGAAAAGUCAGUCAAAGAGGGUAAAAACCCCGUAGACGAAAUGUGGAAGACACCUAGGAGGAUCCUGAGUACGGCGGAACACGAGAAAUUCCGUCGGAAUCCGGGAGGACCAUCUCCCAAGGCUAAAUACUCCCUAGUGACCGAUAGUGAACCAGUACCGUGAGGGAAAGGUGAAAAGCACCCCGGAAGGGGAGUGAAAUAGAACCUGAAACCGUGUGCCUACAACAAGUCAAAGCCCGUUAAUGGGUGAUGGCGUGCCUUUUGUAGAAUGAACCGGCGAGUUACGAUUGCAUGCGAGGUUAAGUUGAAGAGACGGAGCCGCAGCGAAAGCGAGUCUGAAUAGGGCGUUUGAGUAUGUAGUCGUAGACCCGAAACCAUGUGAUCUACCCAUGUCCAGGUUGAAGGUGCGGUAAAACGCACUGGAGGACCGAACCCACGUACGUUGAAAAGUGCGGGGAUGAGGUGUGGGUAGCGGAGAAAUUCCAAACGAACUUGGAGAUAGCUGGUUCUCUCCGAAAUAGCUUUAGGGCUAGCCUCGGAAUUGAGAAUGAUGGAGGUAGAGCACUGUUUGGACUAGGGGCCCAUCUCGGGUUACCGAAUUCAGAUAAACUCCGAAUGCCAUUCAUUCAUAUCCGGGAGUCAGACUGUGAGUGAUAAGAUCCAUAGUCGAAAGGGAAACAGCCCAGACCACCAGCUAAGGUCCCAAAAUAUAUGUUAAGUGGAAAAGGAUGUGGGGUUGCACAGACAACUAGGAUGUUGGCUUAGAAGCAGCCAUCAUUUAAAGAGUGCGUAAUAGCUCACUAGUCGAGUGACCCUGCGCCGAAAAUGUACCGGGGCUAAACAUAUUACCGAAGCUGUGGAGUACACCUUUAGGUGUAUUGGUAGGAGAGCGUUCUAAGGGCGUUGAAGGCAGAUCGUGAGGACUGCUGGAGCGCUUAGAAGUGAGAAUGCCGGUAUGAGUAGCGAAAGACAGGUGAGAAUCCUGUCCACCGAAUGACUAAGGUUUCCUGGGGAAGGCUCGUCCGCCCAGGGUUAGUCGGGACCUAAGCCGAGGCCGACAGGCGUAGGCGAUGGAUAACAGGUUGAUAUUCCUGUACCCGUUGUUUUUGUUUGAGCAAUGGAGGGACGCAGGAGGCUAAGGAAUGCAGACGAUCGGAAAUGUCUGUCCAAGCAGUAAGUCUGAAGAGGAGUCAAAUGCUUCUUUUCUUAAGGACAAGCUGUGAUGGGGAGGGAAAUAAUAGUACCGAAGUUCCUGAUGUCACACUGCCGAGAAAAGCUUCUAGUGAGAAAACAGCGGCCCGUACCGCAAACCGACACAGGUAGUCGAGGAGAGAAUCCUAAGGUGAGCGAGAGAACUCUCGUUAAGGAACUCGGCAAAAUGACCCCGUAACUUCGGGAGAAGGGGUGCUGAUCAUACGAUCAGCCGCAGUGAAUAGGCCCAAGCGACUGUUUAUCAAAAACACAGGUCUCUGCAAAAUCGUAAGAUGAAGUAUAGGGGCUGACGCCUGCCCGGUGCUGGAAGGUUAAGAGGAGUGCUUAGCGCAAGCGAAGGUACGAAUUGAAGCCCCAGUAAACGGCGGCCGUAACUAUAACGGUCCUAAGGUAGCGAAAUUCCUUGUCGGGUAAGUUCCGACCCGCACGAAAGGCGUAACGAUUUGGGCACUGUCUCAACGAGAGACUCGGUGAAAUUUUAGUACCUGUGAAGAUGCAGGUUACCCGCGACAGGACGGAAAGACCCCAUGGAGCUUUACUGUAGUUUGAUAUUGAGUGUCUGUACCGCAUGUACAGGAUAGGUAGGAGCCGUAGAAAUCGGAACGCUAGUUUCGAUGGAGGCGCUGGUGGGAUACUACCCCUGCGUUAUGGCCACUCUAACCCGCACCACUAAUCGUGGUGGGAGACAGUGUCAGAUGGGCAGUUUGACUGGGGCGGUCGCCUCCUAAAAGGUAACGGAGGCGCCCAAAGGUUCCCUCAGAAUGGUUGGAAAUCAUUCGAAGAGUGUAAAGGCAGAAGGGAGCUUGACUGCGAGACCAACAAGUCGAGCAGGGACGAAAGUCGGGCUUAGUGAUCCGGUGGUUCCGCAUGGAAGGGCCAUCGCUCAACGGAUAAAAGCUACCCUGGGGAUAACAGGCUUAUCUCCCCCAAGAGUCCACAUCGACGGGGAGGUUUGGCACCUCGAUGUCGGCUCGUCGCAUCCUGGGGCUGUAGUCGGUCCCAAGGGUUGGGCUGUUCGCCCAUUAAAGCGGCACGCGAGCUGGGUUCAGAACGUCGUGAGACAGUUCGGUCCCUAUCCGUCGCGGGCGUUGGAAAUUUGAGAGGAGCUGUCCUUAGUACGAGAGGACCGGGAUGGACUUACCGCUGGUGUACCAGUUGUUCUGCCAAGGGCAUUGCUGGGUAGCUAUGUAGGGAAGGGAUAAACGCUGAAAGCAUCUAAGUGUGAAGCCCACCUCAAGAUGAGAUUUCCCAUUUCUUUAAGAAAGUAAGAUCCCUGAGAGAUAAUCAGGUAGAUAGGUCAGGAGUGGAAGUACAGUGAUGUAUGAAGCGGACUGAUACUAAUCGAUCGAGGACUUAACCAA
rnacentral:rRNA from 1 species